GGAGAGAGAGAGAGUGGUGAUGAAACUCUUGGAGCUUGGUUUGGGUGAUAGUACAUGAAGAUAGGUAGAUGGGUUGUCUUGCAAAUUUAUUUUAAGGGCUCUCAUUAUCGAGUAUGUAUUAUUCAUGGAACAUGAGAACUUCAAUGUUGGAGUAUCCAAUGGAUAGAUGUACCACGAGGGGACAUAGGGCAGUAAGGCAAAUAGGGGUCACGUGGUUGGUUAUAUGCUAUGAAGGAUAACCGAGAUAUGAAGGGAUGAUGUGAUAUGAUCUGGAUUGGUGUAUCUUUUCAUGAUAUUUUCUAGAGUAUGUAAAACGGUUGCUUGACUAGCAUAUUACUGAGCGGUGGUUGCUUAUCCCUCACCCUGUUUAAUUUUUCAGAUGAAUUAGUGGGUAAGACAAGGACUAAAUCGGUUGAGGCUGAAUUAGAUGAGAGUGAUAGAGCUUUACUUAUUUAUCGUAAAGUUGAAAGACUUUGGAUCUAUUUUUAUAAGAGAAGUUUGUUUUAAACUCAUGUUUCGGCUUCUUUUUAUUUUAUUUUACUUUCUCAAGCAUCGGGCGUGAGGUUUCCACCGACCCCCGGGUUCGAGGCGUGACAAGAUCUAGCUAGAGCUAGUUCAUUCCAGGCCUCUAUCUCUCUCUCUCUCUCUCUCUCUCUCUCUCUCUCUCUCUCUCCUCUAGUUUCCCCAUCAACGCCGCCACCAAUUUUCUCUCUCCUCUAGUUUCCCCAUCAACGCCGCCACCAAUUUUCUCUGCGAAACCCAACUCUCUCUCUCUCUCUCUCUCUCUCUCCUCUAGUUUCCCCAUCAAUGCCGCCACCAAUUUUCUUGGCGAAACCCAACCAACCUACACCGAUUUCUCAGUGAUUCGAAGGCGUUGGUUUAAUGCAUCGUUGGCUCGGCUUCAGUUUUGAUUUGUGUGAGACUUAUUGUCUUAGUUUACUCCUAGGGUGAACAGUUCAAGAUUACAUAUUCACUACAUCAUCUUGUAAACCCGAUAAGUCUUCACUCAGGUAGGUUCAAGUCCAAAAGACACCUCUCCCGAUGCAAUUCUCAUAUGAUUUUCUCUCUCAUGUCUUUAUACUUAUUUUCUAUUCAAAUUCAAAUGUGGGGUAUUAUUGGAGUUUGAAUAGAAAACUAGUGCUUGUCUUAGUCCCCCAUUGGUGAGCACAAGAACUAAACGCACUUUAUAAGCUUUAGUCCAUUUCUAUUAUUAAAAUGGAUUGGACUUGGGUUGGCUGCAAUUAGGCUCAUAGCGUGGGCCUUAAGCAUUGACUUUUGGCCCAAAUUGAAUAAAAGGAUUUUUCUGUAGUUUUGGUCUCAAGCCAAAAUGGGCAGAACCUCGAGCCCUCAGAUUUCUACAGAUUUUGUCUCAUGACAAAACUGGCAGAAAUUUGAGCCCUUAUAUUUCUGCAGAUUUGGUCACAUGACAAAAUUGGCAGAAAUUUGAGUCAAGCAUUGACUUUUGGCCCAAAUUGAAUAAAGGCAUUUUUCUGUAGUUUUGGUCUCAAGCCAAAAUGGGUAGAACCUCGAGCCCUCACAUUUCUACAGAUUUGGUCACAUGACAAAAUUGGCAGAAAUUUGAGUCAAUGUGGGCUUUUGGGCUUUGAUGAUUACAUUCAGAAAUCAUAUUAAACCUAUCCUUUUACAGUGAAAGGUUAUCUACAGGUCAUAGCCAACCAUAUUACAGAAGUAGGACUGAAUCAUCACGCACGAAAUCACUCACUAAUUGAGAGAGAGAGAGAGAGAGAGAGAGAGAGAGAGAGAGAGAGAGAGAGAGAACAAAUACAGUUCGACAGAGUUCAAAAUUCAAGGGCCUGAAUUUCAAAUUGUUGAUAGUUGUAUCUUGGGGACAGACACCUAUAAAACUACAAGGCACGAGUGUAGGGCCGAAAUUCUGUCUGUGGACAUUGCAUUUACAAGCAUCUAUCAGUUUGUGGAUAUUGCAUUUGCAAGCCUCUAUCAGUUAGUUUACUUCCCUUGCCCCAUGUACCCGUUUGAUUUUACAACUUUAAAGAAAUAUGUUAUAUUUGUAGUUUGUUAUGAAUUUUGAUUUGUAAUCACAAGAGGCGAGACUUGUUGAGAGUAAUCUUCUUGGCAAACCUCAAUGAGGUAGGGUUUUAGAUGGGUCAAAAGCAUCUAUAAGCCUAUGAUAGUUGUGCAUUGUUUGCCAACUCUUUGGAAGGGCUAAAAGCAGUGCAGUGGUGCCUCUAAAAUAUACGUCCAACACAAAGGCCCAAACAAAGGCCCGGUGCUGUGGUUCAAUUUCUUCAACUUUGUUGGCCAGCGACUUCAAGAUUCCAUUUCAAUUCUGCUUUCAGUUCGUUAAAGCAACGUUGUUGUUGGUAUGAAAUAUGUAGUUGAUCUGCAGCAAGCAAGCAGAAAGCAGCAUACACAUGUGAUGCUGGCUUUGGCUUUGCCCUAUAUAAAAUCCAAUAAAUAGUAGCUUUAAUGAGAUGGAUCAUGUGAUUUCACCAGCUUUUGCCCUGUCACUGCAGUCUCUCUCUGCACUGCACCUAUCUAUAUUAUUUGUUUUGGAUCUUAAGCAAGCAAACUGUACUUCAUGGUCACCACACAAGAUAAUCAAUCUAGCCAGCUACUAAAUUCUUCAUUCAAAUCUACCCAGUUUUUAUUAUUUAUUUAUUUAUUAAAAAAAAAAACCAAUUAUGAAUUACUACCAUGGCUGUUUUUUUAAUCACAUUAAUGGCUUACUAAUACGCUUUUUCUACAUUAUAUAUCAAACAAUACGAAACUGGGUGUGGCAGGCAGGCAGCUUCUAUAAAAGAAAAAGCAUAAUUCGUAUAAAAUGUAAUAAUUUACACGGAAAAAAAGUGUAAAACAAGAAGAGCAACUUAUGACGUAUAUCAGGGACAACAAACAACAUGAAAGGGUGAAAAAGAAAACAUGGCCAACAUGGUUUAGACAGAAGAACCACCAAAAAAAAAAAGGCAAAAGUAACAUGGCAGGAUAGGCAUGAGUGAUGAGUGAAAAAAGGGAGGCACACACACACCCAAGAUUAUUAUUGGUCUCUCUCAAUUUCCUCACUUUUUUCCUUCUCUCUUCUGUUUAUUUUUUGGUGGGUAAUAAGAGUUUUAAUCUUUUUCAUUAUUUUUAUUAUACGAAUGAUAUUGACAAAGAGAAAAUUCAAACACAAAACCUUAGAUAUUUACAUUUUAACUACUUGAACGACAAACCGCUUGCUAAUUUCCUCGGUUAAAAGGAUGCGUUGUUGCCACUUUAAACAUCUCUCUCCUACACUCACUGCCCAUUUCUUAAUUAAUUAAUAUUUGUUUGUCUUGUUUCGCACCCUUCCAACACCUUUCGGUUCCUGCCCUAUCUCUUCAUCAUUCCCAUCUGCAGUGUUGUUUACAUGUUAGUGUAAGUCUGGCUGCCCUCCCAUCACAUCUCUCUCUCUCUCUCUCUCUCUCUCUCUCUCUCACUUUGAUGCUUUGAUGGUCUUAUGUAUCUGCCUCUCCUUCAGCACCCUUCAUCAUAUCACCUCUCGAUUUCCUCAGCACGCCUUCUUUUACCUUUUUGUCCAAAGCAACAACUAACCCACAAUUUAUUAAUCAAAAUAACCUAGCUCUUCCCUCACUACACAGCCAAGAAGAUGAGAUUUCUUUCCCAACCCAAAAUGGGUUUUGCAACACCACCAGAAGAAGAAGAUCAGUUCCGGCCAAUUACGCCAAUAAGAGUUGUGGUUCCAAAACUACGACCUUUAAACAACGCAAAGGAGGAUGAGGACGAGGACGAGGAGCUUUUGCUUUUGGAAGGUGACGUCCAUGAACAUGAAGAGUGCCACACACCCAAGUCGCCUGCAGCUCACGUGACCUUCAAGCAACCGCCGGUGUGUCCACCAGCACCGAAGAAACCAACCCAAGCUAGAAGAAAACUGAGGCCACGGCCUUCACAAGGGUUUUUUAAGGUUCCAGACGAUCUUACUUCGGUGUUUAUGGCAAUCUCUAGCUCUUCUAAUCCUGCCAAGAAGAAGAUGAGAGCCAGUUAAGAUCAAUCAAUCAAUCAUUCAUGAUAUAUAUAUAUAUGCUUGUAGUUAUAUAUAUUGAGAUUAACAUUUUACACCUCUUCUUCAUCCCUUUUGUUAAUUUUCAACCCAAUUCUUAUUAGCAACAACAAUUAAUAUAACCGCUGUAAAGGGAAAAUGUUUUUAAUGAUGCAUUUGUUUUCAGUUAACUAUUUAAGCCC